CUGCCCGUAGCACAAUGGCUAAUGCAUUUGAUUCCGAUUCAAAAGAUUGCAGGUUCGAGUCCUGUCGGGUGGACCA
rnacentral:tRNA from 2 species